AGCCAGCCAGUGGUUUGUGUAUUGGAUUGCAACUCUGGAGACCAGGGUUCGAUUCCCUGUUUGGCUA